rnacentral:rRNA from 1 species
AGAGUUUGAUCAUGGCUCAGAUUGAACGCUGGCGGCAGGCCUAACACAUGCAAGUCGAACGGUAACAGGAAGCAGCUUGCUGCUUCGCUGACGAGUGGCGGACGGGUGAGUAAUGUCUGGGAAGCUGCCUGAUGGGGGGGGAUAACUACUGGAAACGGUAGCUAAUACCGCAUAAUGUCGCAAGACCAAAGAGGGGGACCUUCGGGCCUCUUGCCAUCGGAUGUGCCCAGAUGGGAUUAGCUUGUUGGUGGGGUAACGGCUCACCAAGGCGACGAUCCCUAGCUGGUCUGAGAGGAUGACCAGCCACACUGGAACUGAGACACGGUCCAGACUCCUACGGGAGGCAGCAGUGGGGAAUAUUGCACAAUGGGCGCAAGCCUGAUGCAGCCAUGCCGCGUGUAUGAAGAAGGCCUUCGGGUUGUAAAGUACUUUCAGCGGGGAGGAAGGGAGUAAAGUUAAUACCUUUGCUCAUUGACGUUACCCGCAGAAGAAGCACCGGCUAACUCCGUGCCAGCAGCCGCGGUAAUACGGAGGGUGCAAGCGUUAAUCGGAAUUACUGGGCGUAAAGCGCACGCAGGCGGUUUGUUAAGUCAGAUGUGAAAUCCCCGGGCUCAACCUGGGAACUGCAUCUGAUACUGGCAAGCUUGAGUCUCGUAGAGGGGGGUAGAAUUCCAGGUGUAGCGGUGAAAUGCGUAGAGAUCUGGAGGAAUACCGGUGGCGAAGGCGGCCCCCUGGACGAAGACUGACGCUCAGGUGCGAAAGCGUGGGGAGCAAACAGGAUUAGAUACCCUGGUAGUCCACGCCGUAAACGAUGUCGACUUGGAGGUUGUGCCCUUGAGGCGUGGCUUCCGGAGCUAACGCGUUAAGUCGACCGCCUGGGGAGUACGGCCGCAAGGUUAAAACUCAAAUGAAUUGACGGGGGCCCGCACAAGCGGUGGAGCAUGUGGUUUAAUUCGAUGCAACGCGAAGAACCUUACCUGGUCUUGACAUCCACGGAAGUUUUCAGAGAUGAGAAUGUGCCUUCGGGAACCGUGAGACAGGUGCUACAUGGCUGUCGUCAGCUCGUGUUGUGAAAUGUUGGGUUAAGUCCCGCAACGAGCGCAACCCUUAUCCUUUGUUGCCAGCGGUCCGGCCGGGAACUCAAAGGAGACUGCCAGUGAUAAACUGGAGGAAGGUGGGGAUGACGUCAAGUCAUCAUGGCCCUUACGACCAGGGCUACACACGUGCUACAAUGGCGCAUACAAAGAGAAGCGACCUCGCGAGAGCAAGCGGACCUCAUAAAGUGCGUCGUAGUCCGGAUUGGAGUCUGCAACUCGACUCCAUGAAGUCGGAAUCGCUAGUAAUCGUGGAUCAGAAUGCCACGGUGAAUACGUUCCCGGGCCUUGUACACACCGCCCGUCACACCAUGGGAGUGGGUUGCAAAAGAAGUAGGUAGCUUAACCUUCGGGAGGGCGCUUACCACUUUGUGAUUCAUGACUGGGGUGAAGUCGAAACAAGGUA